rnacentral:rRNA from 1 species
ACGCUGGCGGCAGGCCUAACACAUGCAAGUCGAGCGGUAGAGAGAAGCUUGCUUCUCUUGAGAGCGGCGGACGGGUGAGUAAUGCCUAGGAAUCUGCCUGGUAGUGGGGGAUAACGUUCGGAAACGGACGCUAAUACCGCAUACGUCCUACGGGAGAAAGCAGGGGACCUUCGGGCCCUUGCGCUAUCAGAUGAGCCUAGGUCGGAUUAGCUAGUUGGUGAGGUAAUGGCUCACCAAGGCGACGAUCCGUAACUGGUCUGAGAGGAUGAUCAGUCACACUGGAACUGAGACACGGUCCAGACUCCUACGGGAGGCAGCAGUGGGGAAUAUUGGACAAUGGGCGAAAGCCUGAUCCAGCCAUGCCGCGUGUGUGAAGAAGGUCUUCGGAUUGUAAAGCACUUUAAGUUGGGAGGAAGGGCAGUAAAUUAAUACUUUGCUGUUUUGACGUUACCGACAGAAUAAGCACCGGCUAACUCUGUGCCAGCAGCCGCGGUAAUACAGAGGGUGCAAGCGUUAAUCGGAAUUACUGGGCGUAAAGCGCGCGUAGGUGGUUCGUUAAGUUGGAUGUGAAAUCCCCGGGCUCAACCUGGGAACUGCAUUCAAAACUGACGAGCUAGAGUAUGGUAGAGGGUGGUGGAAUUUCCUGUGUAGCGGUGAAACGCGUAGAUAUAGGAAGGAACACCAGUGGCGAAGGCGACCACCUGGACUGAUACUGACACUGAGGUGCGAAAGCGUGGGGAGCAAAC